AUGUCAAGCUGGAAUAAAAACAUUCAAGAGCUUCUCAGUACGGAUAUUAUUCUACUGAUUUCAUUACUUCCCCAUGGUUUUAGCCUGUCACAAAUGGAGAAUCAUCAUCCAGCUACAUCUCCCUUAGAAUCAGGGAAAAGUUCCCCAUUUAAAGACCAAACAUGCAUAAUCUAUUUAGAGUUUCAGUUUGUUUUUUGUCUGACAUCUCUGUUGCCUCUGUUAUAUUACUACAUUGCUAUUAAAACAAGGAAGAAUGGCCUGAUGUUGCCUUUGAAUCUGAUUGUCGGGUACUGGUGGAGAUGUGGAACUCAAGAAAACAUAAUAGAUGGAGAUUAUCGGUUUCCUGUCAGAAAUUGA
rnacentral:rRNA from 1 species